CCCGCCACUUUGCCAGUCUGUCUGAGUGACUGAGUAUAGUCCAGUGGAGGCUAAGAUGGACCCAGCUCUAGGAAACAGGGCUGCCCAGACAGUGGGAAGCUCUGUGCCGAAAGGCCUGGAACAACU
ensembl:snoRNA